UACAGAGGUCUCAAGCGUUGUUCGGAUUCACUGGGCGUAAAGGGUGCGUAGGCGGUUGGGUAAGUCUGUCGUGAAAUCUCCGAGCCUAACUCGGAAACUGCGUCGGAUACUAUUCAACUCGAGGAAUGGAGGGGAGACUGGAAUUCUCGGUGUAGCAGUGAAAUGCGUAGAUAUCGAGAGGAACACCAGCGGCGAAGGCGAGUCUCUGGACAUUUCCUGACGCUGAGGCACGAAAGCCAGGGGAGCAAACGGG
rnacentral:rRNA from 1 species